GCAGUAUUAGAGAUGUCUCAGAGACAAAAGGAACAGCAGGCAGCAGACGGGCAGCCUCCAGCAGGUCCUAAUGGAGAACUACAGUUCCAGCCAGAGACACAAAAAGAGGCAAAAGCUCCAGCUGAGCACGAAGCCGCAGCCCAGAAUAAUCUGCCUGCAGAGCCUCCACAGAAUCUGCCUAUACACACUUAACACAGUGCACUCUGACAGCCUUAACAUGCACACACACACACACACACACACACACACACACACACACACACACACACACACACACAGUCAUUGCACUGACACAGAUAUCCAGAUGGGUUCUACAAAAUGAAUUAUGUGAACUGUAUAUAUAAAUUCAGACAGACUUGGCUGGUGAAUCAUGGCGUAUUGUACUGUGUUCAUUUCUGUGGUCUACAUUAGAUUAAAGAUCUCAAAACAACAGACAACAUUGUGUAUUUUCAGAAAUCUUCAGUUUCAGUGAAGUUUUCAUUAAUGCUUCAGUGUAAAAUCUCAAACCUCUUCAAAUAAAGUCUUAAUUUUAAUCCCUCUGAA